rnacentral:rRNA from 1 species
GUGACGAAGCGACGCCGCGUGCGGGAAGAAGGCCUUCGGGUUGUAAACCGCUGUCGGGAGUUAGGAAGUGCAAGGAUGUUAAUAGCGUUCUUGCUUGACUAAGGCUCCGGAGGAAGCCACGGCUAACUCUGUGCCAGCAGCCGCGGUAAUACAGAGGCGGCAAGCGUUGUUCGGAAUUAUUGGGCGUAAAGAGCACGUAGGCGGCUGUGUAAGUCGGUUGUGAAAGCCUUCCGCUUAACGGAAGAACGGCAUCCGAUACUGCAUAGCUUGAGUGCGGGAGGGGAGAGUGGAACUUCUGGUGGAGCGGUGAAAUGCGUAGAUAUCAGAAGGAACACCGGCGGCGAAGGCGACUCUCUGGUCCGUAACUGGCGCUGAGUGUGCGAAAGCUAGAGGAGCAAACGGGAUUAGGUACCCCGGUAGUCCUAGCCGUAAACGAU